UACAGAGGGUGCAAGCGUUAAUCGGAAUGACUGGGCGUAAAGGGCGUGUAGGCGGGAUAGUAAGUGCGUUGUGAAAGACUUGGGCUCAACCUGAGGAAGUCAUCGUAGACUGUUAUUCUAGAGUGAGAGAGAGGUCAUGGGAAUUUCCGGAGGAGCGGUGAAAUGCGUAGAUUUCGGAAGGAACAUCAGUGGCGAAGGCGAGUGACUGGCUCUUAACUGACGCUGAGGCGCGAAGGCGUGGGUAGCAAACAGG
rnacentral:rRNA from 1 species